AGCCCCUGAUGAAUAUUUUACUUUUUCUGACACCUCGUAUGAACACUGCCUAGCAGUGCCUGAUUAUCAAUGCAAUCUGAGGCUU